AGUGAACGCUGGCGGCAGGCCUAACACAUGCAAGUCGAACGGCAGCACAGUAAGAGCUUGCUCUUACGGGUGGCGAGUGGCGGACGGGUGAGGAAUACAUCCUAAUCUACUUUUUCGUGGGGGAUAACGUAGGGAAACUUACGCUAAUACCGCAUACGACCUACCGUGGAAAGCAUGGGAUCUUCGGACCUUGCGCGAUUGAAUGAGCCGAUGUCGGAUUGGCUAGUGGGCGGGGUAAAGGCCCACCCAGUCGAGAAUCCGUAGCUGGUCUGAGUGGAUGAUCGGCCACACUGGAGCUGGGACACGGUCCAGACUCCUACGGGAGGCCGCAGUGGGGAACAUUGGACAAUGGGCGCAAGCCUGAUCCAGCCAUACCGCGUGGGUGAAGAAGGCCUUGGGGUUGUAAAGACCUUUUGUUGGGAAAGAAAAGCAGCAGGUUAAGACCCAGCUGUUCUGACGGUACCCAAAGAAUAAGCACCGGCUAACUUCGUG
rnacentral:rRNA from 1 species